rnacentral:rRNA from 1 species
CCUACGGGUGGCUGCAGUGAGGAAUAUUGGUCAAUGGCCGGAAGGCUGAACCAGCCAAGCCGCGUGAAGGACGAAGGUGCCACGCAUUGUAAACUUCUUUUGUCCAGGGACAAAAUAAGGCUCGUGAGCCUGACCGCGGGUACUUGAAGAAAAAGCAUCGGCUAACUCCGUGCCAGCAUCCGCGGUAAUACGGAGGAUGCGAACGUUAUCCGGAUGUAUUGGGUUUAAAGGGUGCGUAGACGUGUUGUUAAGUCAGGUGUGAAAGUUAGGGGCCAAACCCCAGCGUGGCAGUGGAUAUUGGCUGUCUUGAGAUGAGGAGAGGUAGGCGGAAUGAGCAGUGUAGCGGUGAAAUGCUGAGAUAUUACGAAGAACUCCGAUUGCGAAGGCAGCAUACUG